UGUAGAGUUACUCAGAGAGGCAUAAUCACUUGGAAGUUCAGGAUAAAGCUUGUUUGAAUUCUUUUUAGCUGGUGGUGUUGGCCUAACAGAAGGUUUAUGUGGUUCAGGUCUUGAUGGUCUACCAGGUGGGUCAUUUACAGCUUUUCCUGGAUUAUUUCUUUGCUCUUCAUUUUCAUAUACUUCAGUGAAGGAUGCUAGAGUUUCAUAAAGAUCUUCUGCUUGAGCAGGAAAAGGAACAUCACCCAACAAGAUGGCACUAGCACGUAUAUCUUGCCCAUAAAACUUGCGAUUGGUUUCUUUCCUUUCAAUUAAACAGGUUCCUUCCAGAGAUACACCUGCAAACAGUCCUCGAGAUUUGCAAUAUGUAUAGACAGCAGCAGAGCUUCUCAGUGCAACAUCCCC
rnacentral:lncRNA from 1 species